rnacentral:rRNA from 1 species
GCGCAGGAAAUCAUCUGAACCCUUCGGGGGGACGUUGAUGGAAUGAGCGGCGGACGGGUGAGUAACACGUAAAGAACCUGCCCUCAGGUCUGGGAUAACCACGAGAAAUCGGGGCUAAUACCGGAUGGGUCAUCGGACCGCAUGGUCCGAGGAUGAAAGGCGCUUCGGCGUCGCCUGGGGAUGGCUUUGCGGUGCAUUAGCUAGUUGGUGGGGUAAUGGCCCACCAAGGCGACGAUGCAUAGCCGACCUGAGAGGGUGAUCGGCCACACUGGGACUGAGACACGGCCCAGACUCCUACGGGAGGCAGCAGUAGGGAAUCUUCCACAAUGGACGAAAGUCUGAUGGAGCAACGCCGCGUGAACGAUGAAGGCCUUCGGGUCGUAAAGUUCUGUUGUAAGGGAAGAACAAGUGCCGCAGGCAAUGGCGGCACCUUGACGGUACCUUGCGAGAAAGCCACGGCUAACUACGUGCCAGCAGCCGCGGUAAUACRUAGGUGGCAAGCGUUGUCCGGAAUUAUUGGGCGUAAAGCGCGCGCAGGCGGCCUCUUAAGUCUGAUGUGAAAGCCCCCGGCUCAACCGGGGAGGGYCAUUGGAAAYUGGGASGCUUGAGUAYASGAGAKAASASUGGAAU